rnacentral:lncRNA from 1 species
GGGCCUGUUUGGCAACCAUGUGUUAAAGUUUAACACCUGUCACAUCGGAUGUUUGGAUGCUAAUUAGGAGUAUUAAACAUAGGCUAAUUACAAAACUAAUUGCACAGAUGGAGUGUAAUUCACGAGACGAAUCUAUUAAACCUAAUUAGUCCAUGAUUUGACAAUGUGGUGCUACAGUAACCAAUUGCUAAUGAUGGAUUAAUUAGGCUUAAUAGAUUCGUCUCGCGAAUUAGCACAAGGUUCUGCAAUUAGUUUUAUAAUUAGCUCAUGUUUAGUUCUUCUAAUUAGCAUCCGAACAUCCGAUGUGACACUGUUAAAGUUUAACAUCUCGUAUCCAAACACCCCCUUAAUGUGGACAAAAUGGACUUGUAUAGUUUACCGAAAAAAGAAAAUAUGAACUUAACGUUUUUAAGAAGUCACAUCAAGUCAACAACAACCAUGCCUCCCUUCCCUCGCCCACAGGACUUGCAAGCUUUUGUUUUGACGUCCAUGCUCCAUUGAACGACCGAACGUG